CCCUUAGAUGUUCUGGGCUGCACGCGCGCUACACUGAUGCGCUCAACGAGUUUUAACCUUGCCUGGAAAGGUUGGGUAAUCUUUUUAAAACGCAUCGUGAUGGGGAUAGAUUAUUGCAAUUAUUAAUCUUCAACGAGGAAUUCCUAGUAAGCGCGAGUCAUCAGCUCGUGCUGAUUACGUCCCUGCCCUUUGUACACACCGCCCGUCGCUACUACCGAUUGAAUGGUUUAGUGAGACCUUCGGAUUGGUCCCGGCAUGGUGGGAAACUGCCUGGCCGUGGUUGCUGAGAAGAUGUUCAAACUUGAUCAUUUAGAGGAAGUAAAAGUCGUAACA
rnacentral:rRNA from 1 species